GUUGGGAGAAUUCUUUGUCAAGAGGGGACAAGAAGCUGAAGUAGAGAUUAGUUUAACAGAGGUAAAGGGAGGUGACAGGAAAGCUGGCUUAAUUAUUGAAGGGAUUGAUAUCAGGCCUAAGGAGUAAGGAGGGAAACAACAUAUCCAGUGAAAUUAUUUCCACACAGUAGGGCCUGAGGAAGAUAGAGUGUACUCAUACGUUACUAAUACCUCUU
rnacentral:misc_RNA from 1 species